AUUGAACGCUGGCGGCAUGCUUUACACAUGCAAGUCGAACGGCAGCGCGGGCUUCGGCCUGGCGGCGAGUGGCGAACGGGUGAGUAAUACAUCGGAACGUGCCCAGUAGUGGGGGAUAGCUCGGCGAAAGCCGGAUUAAUACCGCAUACGACCUGAGGGUGAAAGCGGGGAUCUUUGGACCUCGCGCUAUUGGGGCGGCCGAUGGGAGAUUAGCUAGUUGGUGGGGUAAAGGCCUACCAAGGCGACGAUCCGUUGCUGGUCUGAGAGGGCGACCAGCCACACUGGGACUGAGACACGGCCCAGACUCCUACGGGAGGCAGCAGUGGGGAAUUUUGGACAAUGGGCGAAAGCCUGAUCCAGCAAUGCCGCGUGUGUGAUGAAGGCCUUCGGGUUGUAAAGCACUUUUGGCGGGAACGAAAAGGACUGUGCCAAUACCACGGUUCGAUGACGGUACCCGCAGAAUAAGCACCGGCUAACUACGUG
rnacentral:rRNA from 1 species